AGUUUGAUCCUGGCUCAGGACGAACGCUGGCGGCGUGCUUAACACAUGCAAGUCGAACGGGGUCAGAAGAGGAGUAAUCUUGUUCUGACCAAGUGGCGGACGGGUGAGUAACGCGUGAACAAUCUGUCCCGAAGCGGGGGAUAACAACCGGAAACGGGUGCUAAUACCGCAUAGGACCACGGAGCCGCAUGGCUCUGAGGUGAAAGGAGCAAUCCACUUUGGGGUGAGUUCGCGUCCCAUUAGAUAGUUGGUGGGGUAGAGGCCUACCAAGUCAACGAUGGGUAGCCGAUCUGAGAGGAUGACCGGCCACACUGGAACUGAGAAACGGUCCAGACUCCUACGGGAGGCAGCAGUGGGGAAUAUUGGGCAAUGGGCGAAAGCCUGACCCAGCAACGCCGCGUGAGGGAAGAAGGCCUUCGGGUCGUAAACCUCUGUCGCAGGGGACGAGAAGAAGACGGUACCCUGCAAGGAAGCCCCGGCUAACUACGUGCCAGCAGCCGCGGUAAUACGUAGGGGGCAAGCGUUGUCCGGAAUAACUGGGCGUAAAGGGCGCGUAGGCGGCCGAGUAAGUUUGGAGUGAAAGUCCCGCUUUCAAGGUGGGAAUUGCUUUGAAAACUGCAUGGCUAGAGUAUGGGAGAGGAUAGCGGAAUUCCCGGUGUAGCGGUGAAAUGCGUAGAGAUCGGGAGGAACACCAGUGGCGAAGGCGGCUAUCUGGACCAAAACUGACGCUGAGGCGCGAAAGCGUGGGUAGCAAACAGGAUUAGAUACCCUGGUAGUCCACGCUGUAAACGAUGGAUGCUAGGUGUAGGAGGUAUCGACCCCUUCUGUGCCGGAGUAAACACAAUAAGCAUCCCGCCUGGGGAGUACGGCCGCAAGGUUGAAACUCAAAUGAAUUGACGG
rnacentral:rRNA from 1 species